rnacentral:rRNA from 1 species
UACGGAGGAUCCAAGCGUUAUCCGGAUUCAUUGGGCUUAAAGGGUGCGUAGGCGGAAUGAUAAGUCAGUGGUGAAAUCCUGCAGCUUAACUGCAGAACUGCCAUUGAUACUGUCAAUCUUGAGUACAUUUGAUGAGGGCGGAAUGUGUCAUGUAGCGGUGAAAUGCUUAGAUAUGACACAGAACACCGAUUGCGAAGGCAGCUCUCAAAACUGUAACUGACGCUGAGGCACGAAAGCGUGGGUAUCAAACAGG